AUUGAACGCUGGCGGCAGGCCUAACACAUGCAAGUCGAACGAGUGGCGGACGGGUGAGUAAUGUCUGGGAAACUGCCUGAUGGAGGGGGAUAACUAAUGGAAACGGUAGCUAAUACCGCAUACCAUCAGAUGUGCCCAGAUGGGGUUAGCUUGUUGUAGGGGUAACGGCUCACCAAGGCGACGAUCCCUAGCUGGUCUGAGAGGAUGACCACGCCAACCGGAACUGAGACACGGUCCAGACGCCUACGGGAGGAAGCAGUGGGGAAUAUUGCACAAUGGGCGCAAGCCUGAUUCAGCCAUGCCGCGUGUAUGAAGAAGGCCUUCGGGUUGUAAAGUACUUUCAGCGGGGAGGCGUUACCCGCAGAAGAAGCACCGGCUAACUCCGUGCCAGCAGCCGCGGUAAUUC
rnacentral:rRNA from 1 species